AUCACUGUGAUCAUUUUGCGGCCUGGGGAGCAAGGAUCCAUGGUUUUUAUAUGCCUUGUCCGGCUGCUGGAGUUGAUGACAUGGAAACGUCAUCUCUACCAUCUCGAUGGCUUAGACCCAGGGAGCCGGAUGUUCAUCUCAGCCCUCCCCAGCUUCCAUCAAUGGAUUUUUAUAGUCAGGGUUAAAGACUGAGAGGCCCUAUGCAUGUUCACAAAAACACAAUUUUGACAAAUUAUCUCUAUUGUAAAAUUGAGGGAGUAACUCAUUAUUCGAGAGAACUGGUCGUACAUGAAGCAUCAAGAACACACGUGCAAAAAUCUAAUUCUAACUGAAUUUAGCUUUCAGUUGGCAUUUCCUCAAACAAUCAAGUGCACCUAUUAUUAUUUGGCUGACAAAAAUAUGAACACCAAACAUGCCAUCAUCAUUAAGCAAUUCAAGGAUGUCUAUGAAUCGGACAUGAAAUAUUUGGAGCAUGGAAUAAAAAACAGCACACUGUCUUCUGGCGUAGAUGCACAAUAGAUGCACUCCUUCAAAUAGAGAUCAAUUUUCAGCUGAAACGAUAGAUGCACUCUUUCAAAUAUGCAUCAUAGUAGGUCCUACAAAAAUCACGAGAAAUUAGAGGAUGCAACUUGAUGACUGCCUUCUAUAUCAUUUGGAGGACAAAAGAAGCUAGAAAAAUUGUGAUGAACCACCAAUCCCUGUUAAAAGUAACUAUCAUUCCCCUUUGAUAUAUGGAUAUAUCAAUCAAGAGAGAGAGUGGGGGGGUUAUACCAGGAAACACUUUGCAAACAUAAGCUUUUAAACUGGUAGUCAACUUACUGUCAACAUGUAAGGUUGCCUCAUUUCUGAAAAACACAAAUCCACCCUAAAUUUUCACAUGAAUAAAAUGUAGAUUUUCUCUUCUAUCAAGAUAUUACAUGUCUGGUAUCUUCUUGUAGGAACUGCUACCAUCAUUUGCUUCUUCUCACAAAGAAUUCAAUCCAUAGUAUGCCAAGAAGCUAUGAAAAAAAAUUAAUUUCUUCAAAGAAUAAAAUACAUUGCAGAAAUAAAAUACUCUAUCAGAGAGUUGGCAGGCAAGGUAGUAGGGACAAGAAGAGCAAGAACUAACUUUGAGAGGAUAUGGGCAAACUCCUGCAUUGUGCCCUGGCUGACCCCUACGCUUACGCCAUGCCUCCUGUAUCCAUUCCUCAUUCCUCUGUGUUGUGAUAGAAAUUCAGAAUGGCAAAUAAAAGUAUUAUUAGAUUGCAGCCUUAAUUUCUUAUCCUUUAGUAGAUGCACAUUUGAUUCUAUUCUUAGAUUGCAGCCUUAAUUUCUUAUCCUUUAGUAGACGCACAUUUGAUUCUGAAGGAAGAAGACGGGAAAUAUGCAUAUAGCAAGAAAUAGUAAAAAUAUGUUCUUUCGAACUUGCAUGGCUAUUUGUUUUUUCUGUAAACAUGCCAAUCUACUGCCAUCUCACUCGCCUUAAUUUCUUACCUUUUCAUAGAUGCAAAUUUGAUUUUGAGCAAGUAGAGAAGCAAUAUACGAUAGCAUACAUCAAGAAAGAGUAGAAGAAUGUUCUUUUCAGCUGAUGUACACUAUAGAUGCAAAUUAUAUAUAUACGACUAUAAUUUUUUUCCUGUAAAUACACUGAUGUACUACCAUCUCAUUACAAAUUAUGUAUCGUGCCAAGGAAAAAUCAUUUUACUUUUCAGCAUAUAUAUACGAUCAUACGGUAGUCACACAUAUAAGCAGCACCACAAAAACAAACACACAAACAUGACACCUGGAAAAAUCAGGAACGGAGGAAUUAGCAUGACAAUAAGAAGUAAACAAAUAGGGUAGAAAAGUGCAGUGCUUAGAAAAGAAUGACAAGGAGAAACAUUGACCAAAGGAACAGAGAAGGAGCAACCUUAGCGAUUCUAGAGCCUGCAAAAUAGAAGGAAAGGAAGGUUAGCCAAACAAGCCAGUCUGUUCAAUACCUAACACAACAACAAAUCAAAGACAACCUAGCUUUACAUGGCAGAAAUUUCAAGAGAAAAAAUAUAUAAUAUGAUAUCUAACUGUGCGAAUACAUUAGGAAAUACCACUUCCAAAUUAGAGCGCACCAUUCCCCAAAACUCAAGGACUCAAUAUUCAAAAACUACACAUCAUGAUAGUUAGUUGUUCUACAGCAGCAAGCUAAAUAACACCUAGGUUGUGUAUUAUCUCAUCACACAAAGAAUGUAAAUCAUCACUCCAUAAGAUCAAGAUUUACUAUUUAUUCUACUUCUGCCCCCAACGCAUGAAAAUGCAGCUCCAUUUGGAAUCUGCUCUCCAGUCAAGUAUUUUGUUAAGCAAAUAGGCACAUAGCAAAAAACCAAACCAGAUUCCCGCCUCCAUAUAUGCUUCACGUAUAGUUGUUUACCAAUUCUAGUUCUGCUUGAAACAUCAAGCAUAAUUGGCUACUGAUUCAUUUAUAAAAUAGAAGUGCACCAAAAAAUAACUAUUUGAAAUUACAAAUAGGGAUAGGCCAAUAGAUGACCUCUUAAUUCCAUAGGAAUCACAAAAUCCCAAAAAACGGUACAAUUAUCAUUUUAUAAAUGUUCGCACCUUAAAGUUAACAAUCUUCUCAAAUUAGCAUACAGGGCUAACAUAAACUUAAGCAAGACUGUCCAAAUGAUCAUGGUACAUGGUGGAUUUAUCAUAAUUAAUAUUUGGCUGGAAGUGGGCUACGUUCUACAGAUAUUCUGAAGCUCAUUUUCAGUAGUCAGAUAAAUCGACCUGCUACAGCGCCUCUAGCCGCCCACCAACACCCACGAUAGGCCACCAUGGACGACGUGCACCUGAUUCCACCAGGAAGCCAAUCCUAUACCAUCGCUAGUGUGCGCGCGCCUAAAGUGCACAGUGAGGCAGAUCUUCCCUUCGUGGUAUAUCUGCAUCAAUAUCCCAACCACAACAAGAAUCACUGCCAAGAAUGAUUAUCACCCGACAACACUAUUUUUUUAACAAGUUUCAUGGUGGCAAUUCAUAGAACAGUCCAACAUAAAUAAAGAAGCUGCAACCAUAGUGUGAGAAUUGGAAGGGAAUACUGAAGCGAACAUGGGCGCAAAGAAAUACACAACUGAACUGGAGACAAUGAAAGUAGACCACUCCAAAACAUUAAGAAACCUAUAGUCGUUAAUGUGGAAACUAAAUCUCAUUGAGGUGGAGAUGACUCAUAACCUACAGAUGAAAAGAAGAGCUCGCCUGCAGAUUGGGACCCUCGAUGUAGCCAUGGAAGCCUAGCCAUACAAAGUGGUGCUUCGAUGCGAAAACUCAAGGCAACCGUGGCAAGGCCCCAUCGAACAACGCCUCAUUUCCUCUCACUCCACCUAUUUCCCAUAACUUAGAUUCAUAAUCAAAUAUUCAGGUGCAAUAACAAUUUUUGUCCGGUUAUAAGUUAAAACUAAGGAAAUUAAAUACUAAUUAGAAUCUGAGACACAUCCAACCAAGGAAAUCGAUCUACAAGAUGCCCUUGCAGCACAAGACAACUCCUCCCUUAGCCAAUCCAUAGACGACAGCUCAUUGGUCGCUACUUGUUGGCGCAUUCAGACUUCUCCUUUCCCUCUAUGACAAAAAAUCAACAUGUGAACAUAAGAAUCAAAAUAAGAGAAGGAACAAGCAGUACUCGAGAUGUACAACAAGCGUGCGCUUAUAAGCUAUUAUAUGUCCGUAUGAAUGUGCGAAAAACAUGGGGCUCUAAACUAUAAAUCAGUUAUUAACUAAUAAUGUUACAUUGGUGACUUCAUUGCUUCACAUGUCCUUAUUUCAGCACAACAUGUCAUGCAUAUUUAGAAACCGCGACAUAUAUAUCAACCGCACUAAUAUGGCAAACAAUUAGCUAACCCUGGCAUAUUUACCUUUCACCCGUGGUUGUGAUCUUUUCGCAUUAAUCUCCAAUACUGAAUCAUCCACGAUCUUAAUGGAUCCUUUAAAGGGGCCAUGAGUGGAUUCAUACUUGAACAUAUGGUCCAAUAAAUGGGAGGAGGGGUGUUAACUUGAGAGGUGAAGGGAAGAAUAUAAUGGCAGAUUUAGAUUUGUCAAAUUCCGAUGCAGUAGAACAUCCCACUGGAUGAUUUCUGUCAUUGCACCUAAUAAUAGAAAAAAGUAGGAACCCAAUUGUGCAAAAUUAGGUGUUAAGUAAUUUUUCUAUGCUCUAAAUACAGUGCAACAUGGUCUGAUGCAAUUUUGAUACAAAGUAGUACAAAACUAACUACUGCAAAACUAUGAGUUCAACACCUAAACUUUGAGUUUCAGUUGCAGAAGUUCUCAUAGCAAAAAAUAUGCAAAUCAUAUAGCAUUAUUUCCUUACCAUGUACUUAGCAUCAAUAAAAGGACUAUUGACAGCCACAACUUCAAUGACACCUCUACUGGAGCAUUGAUGCCUCUUCUCAAAUCCUCAAUGACUGAAUGAUCAUUAAUUUCUUCAAUCCUCAUAACUGAAUAUUUCUUGUGUCUGUAUGUCACUUGACUCACUCCCUGGCCAGCACAGUAGCAACAUCAGCAGGUCAACCGCAGCAAGCAACAAAGUCAGUAUACAACAAAACAUAGCUUCAUAGCUUCAUACAAGAUACAAGCAUUAUACAAAUAUUACAACAAAGCAUCAACAUCAGGCCAUCAGCAGCCCAACACCCAGACAAAGCACCGAGCAACAAGCCAGCAAGUAUGCACACAACAAGCAAGCACACACGCAGCACAUCAACAGCAAGCACGCACACAUCACACGUGUAAUAAGCAGGGCAAGAAGACCAGGAAGAGCAGUGAUUCAGAGGAAGUUACCUCGCCGGGGAUGGGAUUCCUGGCGGUAAUGGUGGAGUUGACUCGGGGCGGCGAUGGAGGUCACUCGAGGCGGCGCCCAAGGCGACUCCAGGCGGCAGCGGUGGCGUGGCCAUGCAGGCACCCUCGAUCCAAUCCGCCACCCUGCUCUUGUCAAUGGGG
rnacentral:lncRNA from 1 species